AAAUGCGAUAAGUAAUGUGAAUUGCAGAAUUCAGUGAAUCAUCGAAUCUUUGAACGCACCUUGCGCUCCUUGGUAUUCCUUGGAGCAUGCCUGUUUGAGUAUCAUGAAAUCUUCAAAGUAAAUCUUUUGUUAACUCAAUUGGUUUCUACUUUGGUAUUGGAGGUCUUUGCAGCUUCACACCUGCUCCUCUUUGUUCAUUAGCUGGAUCUCAGUGUUAUGCUUGGUUCCACUCGGCGUGAUAAGUUAUCUAUCGCUGAGGACACUGUAAAAGGUGGCCAAGGUAAAUGCAGAUGAACCACUUCUAAUAGUCCAUUGACUUGGACAAUACUUUUAUGAUCUGAUCUCAAAUCAGGUAGGACUACCCGCUGAACUUAAGC
rnacentral:misc_RNA from 1 species